CGCUCUGCCCCGCCAUCCCGGCCCGGGGCUCCUCUCGGGGUUCAGCUCCUCUCCGCGGGGAGCGGUGCUCGGCCCUGCGAGGAGCAGAACGGGACCCCUCUGGAGACAUCUCCUCUGAACGAGUUGCAAGACCGCUCAUCAGUCAGGCACAACGUGAACGUGUCCCUUCGCACGAGGCUCGUCUUCACACCCCAGUAUCCAUCACCACGACCUGCCAAACGGCGCGGGGAACCGGAGGGCAGAGGCUUCCCACGAGCACGGAGCAGCCCGCAGCACCGCGGCACGCAGCCCUAUGCCACCAGCACGGCCCCGGGGCGAGCAGUGCGCAGGGAGAGCUGGGGUGGUUCUGCAAAGCCAGGGCUGGAAGGGCGGCAGCAAUUUCCCAAGGUUUAAAGAAAGCACAGAGAGCAAGAACCUUGUCUCUGGUGCAGAAAACAAGAUGAAAGCCAUAAACUGCUCUAAGAGAGAAUCAGGCUGGACUUAGAGACAAAAGAGCCAAGGAUACCAGGCCCAGGGCGAGGAGCAGCUCGGUGUGCCGGGUCCUGCUCUGGGCCUGGGGAGCCGAGUGACCCGUGUGGUCCCUCUCGCAGGUUCACCCCUGACUCCACCAGGGUUUGUGCUUUUGGAGCUGUCCUCAUACACCAGGCCCAGCCCCGAGGCUUACAGCAUACCUCUGAUGGCUUUCCUUCACAGUUUUUUUGUCCUUUUCCACAAAAUAUUCACAUCUUUGAAAAUUACGUUUUUUGGUUGCCUACUUUAUAUUUUGCUAUUUUAAUAAAAUCAGUGGCAGAAUUCUCUUUGUCUUUUGAUUUCCAAAACCUCACAACUAUCUGUACGGAUUCCAGCUGUUUGCUUUAAGGUUUUGUAUUCUAUGGAACACCGAUAUAUUGAUAAUACGAACUGCACUUGAGUGGAUACACAAAUAUACUUUCCAAAACCUCA